AGUACCUCUAGUACUACCAACUUGCUAUCUAGAAAGCGUACGUUUUAACACAGCUAACUAGCUAGCUAACUGUUAUAACCAGACUACCGUAGCUAGCUCGAGCGCGACAGUAAUGAGCAUUCUUGUUAGCUAGGUAGCUAACCAUGGUCUGCUGUUCUAGCUGAAAAAUUAUGACUCGGAGUCAAUGGGUGGAAAUAAUUUCUGAAAACAAUCUUCUCUCUUACAGUGCUUGUCCAAGUGACUGCUGUACGCCUCACUGACUUGUGAUACUCAUCGUGGUGACCGUCCUACAUUGACCUGUGUAGACACUCGCUCUCCAGGCAGAUAUUUCUUCUCAAGAACUGGUCUGUCCUGGGAGAGAGGAAGCUGUGUGCCUUGGGUGUGUUGGUCUCACCCCCACCAAAUUCUCGGUGUUGGUUUG